UACGAAGGGGGCUAGCGUUGCUCGGAUUGACUGGGCGUAAAGGGGCGCGUAGGCGGUUCGUACAGUCAGACGUGAAAUUCCUGGGCUCAACCUGGGGGCUGCGUUUGAUACGUGCGGACUUGAGUGCGGAAGAGGGUCGUGGAAUUCCCAGUGUAGAGGUGAAAUUCGUAGAUAUUGGGAAGAACACCGGUGGCGAAGGCGGCGACCUGGUCCGAUACUGACGCUGAGGCGCGAAAGCGUGGGGGAGCAAACAGG
rnacentral:rRNA from 1 species